GGUUCCAUAGUGCAGUGGUUAGCACAUCUGCUUUACACACAGAAGGUCCUGGGUUUGAUCCCCAGUGGGACCA